CUACCCGUAGCUCAGUUGGAUAGAGCAUCAGCCUUCUAAGCUGAGGGUCACAGGUUCGAUCCCUGUCGGGUAGACCA
rnacentral:tRNA from 2 species